rnacentral:misc_RNA from 1 species
GAAAUGCGAUAAGUAAUGUGAAUUGCAGAAUUCAGUGAAUCAUCGAAUCUUUGAACGCACCUUGCGCUCCUUGGUAUUCCUUGGAGCAUGCCUGUUUGAGUAUCAUGAAAUCUUCAAAGUAAAUCUUUUGUCAACUCAAUUGGUUUCUACUUUGGUAUUGGAGGUCUUUGCAGCUUCACACCUGCUCCUCUUUGUUCAUUAGCUGGAUCUCAGUGUUAUGCUUGGUUCCACUCGGCGUGAUAAGUUAUCUAUCGCUGAGGACACUGUAAAAGGUGGCCAAGGUAAAUGCAGAUGAAACGCUUCUAAUAGUCCAUUGACUUGGACAAUACUUUUAUGAUCUGAUCUCAAAUCAGGUAGGACUACCCGCUGAACUUAAGC